GGUUGAUCCUGCCGAUAGUCAUACGCUCGUCUCAAAGAUUAAGCCAUGCAUGUCUAAGUAUAAGCAACUUUUACUGUGAAACUGCGAAUGGCUCAUUAUAUCAGUUAUAGUUUCUUUGAUAUUCCUUUGCUACUUGGAUAACCGUAGUAAUUCUAGAGCUAAUACAUGCGUUUACGCCCGACAAUUUUGGAGGGCGGUAUUUAUUAGAUAUAAACCAAUGUUGAAAUUUAUUUCAUCUUUUGUGGUGAGUCAUAAUAACUUAGCGAAUCGUAUGCCCUUGUGGUGACGAUGAA
rnacentral:rRNA from 1 species